GACGAACGCUGGCGGCGUGCCUAAUACAUGCAAGUUGAGCGCUGAAGGUUGGUACUUGUACCCACUGGAUGAGCAGCGCACGGGUGAGUAACGCGUGGGUAAUCUGCCUUUGAGCGGGGGACAACAUUUGGAAACGAAUGCUAAUACCGCAUAAAAACUUUAAACACAAGUUUUAAGUUUGAAAGAUGCAAUUGCAUCACUCAAAGAUGAUCCCGCGUUGUAUUAGCUAGUUGGUGAGGUAAAGGCUCACCAAGGCGAUGAUACAUAGCCGACCUGAGAGGGUGAUCGGCCACAUUGGGACUGAGACACGGCCCAAACUCCUACGGGAGGCAGCAGUAGGGAAUCUUCGGCAAUGGACGAAAGGCUGACCGAGCAACGCCGCGUGAGUGAAGAAGGUUGUCGGAUCGUAAAACUCGGUUGGUAGAGAAGAACGUUGGUGAGAGUGGAAAGCUCAUCAAGUGACGGUAACUACCCAGAAAGGGACGGCUAACUACGUG
rnacentral:rRNA from 1 species